UACGGGGGGGGCAAGCGUUGUUCGGAAUUACUGGGCGUAAAGGGCUGGUAGGCGGCCAACUAAGUCAGACGUGAAAUCCCCAGGCUCAACCUGGGAACUGCGUCUGAUACUGGAUGGCUUGAAUUCGGGAGAGGGAUGCAGAAUUCCAGGUGUAGAGGUGAAAUUCGUAGAUAUCAAGUGGAACACCGGUGGCGAAGGCGGCCUUCUGGACGGUGACUGACGCUGAGACGCGAAAGCGUGGGGAGCAAACAGG
rnacentral:rRNA from 1 species